UACGUAGGGAGCGAGCGUUGUUCGGAGUUACUGGGCGUAAAGGGUGUGUAGGCGGUUUUCUAAGUUUGGUGUGAAAUCUCCCGGCUCAACCGGGAGGGUGCGCCGAAAACUGGGAGACUAGAGUGCGGGAUGGGAGAGUAGAAUUCCUGGUGUAGCGGUGAAAUGCGUAGAUAUCAGGAGGAAUACCGGUGGGGAAGACGGCUCUCUGGACCGCCACUGACGCUGAGACACGAAAGCGUGGGUAGCAAACAGG
rnacentral:rRNA from 1 species